rnacentral:misc_RNA from 1 species
GUGGAUCUUCUGGGUAGGUCCAUUCAUCGGAGCCGCCAUCGCGGCAGGUUACCACCAGUACAUCCUCCGGGCCGGGGCGAUCAAGGCGCUCGGAUCCUUCCGGAGCAACGCAUAAUUCGCCCGUUCAGCUUGCUCGAUAGUCGUCUUCAUCUCAGGUCAGGGUGUUUUGUGAAGGAAUAAGGGCUACGAACCACCAUGUGCUCAAUGAGGAGAAUUGUAGAUAUCAUAGGGCUGGGCUUUGCUUUGCUUGCCUUAUUAUUGUUCAGCACCAUUUAUUUCAUGUGUUUCAGUUGGGUGCUAAUGGGCAGUGUUCUUAGUGUGCCCCUUUAUGUAUUGCAUUCCAUUUUCACUUCUACUUCUUGUAUGUGUUGUAUGUAGUUGUCAAAUUUCCGA